UCCCGGCAUGCACGACGCUGCAAAAGCGGUCACAUCGAAGACGGAACUUCUUAGAUAGAGCAAUGAAUCCAAGAAAAUAAAUUCGAAGAAAAUUAAUUUUAAAAAUCCAAUUAUGAAGAACGGAUAUUUUGUAUAGUUUCAAAGUUCAAUAGCAGGGAUAUUCAGCAUACAGAAUUGCGAAAGCGGCAAAUGUCAGCUACCAAGUGGCCUUGGUAGAGUUUGUUGGGAUUUUUGUUUGUUCCCGAAACUAUCAUAGAGCACUACACUGAACCAGGGACUUCAGCCUACCUAGACUCAUCAACCCGCAUCUGGGUAACUUCAGCCGAAAAACAAACUUUUCUUUCUGAAAUCAUAAAUACAUGGAAAUCUCGGACCGUAGAAUUUAAAUAGCACGCUUAUUGAAGCCUGCCGAAUGACACAUUCCCAAGAAGCAGCACAUCCUGGCUUCUUCAGUUGGAGAUCUACUAUCCAAAUGGUUUUAAAGUUUUGCCACAGUUGUGCAAAGAAUUAAUUAGGCCGUAGUGUGAGUUUGGAUGAUGUUGGAUGGCAAUUUAAGAUGUUUCCUGACCUGCUGAAUACUUCCAGCAUUUUGUUUUUAUUUCAGAUUUGCAGCAUCUUUAUUUUCAAAUGAGAACAAUUACAAUCAGUAAGUGAAAGCAACUAGAGUACAACUAUCUACUCACUCCUUUGAAAAAUAGGACAACAAUAUUAAGUCUAUUCUGCUGCAUCUAAUGGGAAAACAUCACAAUUAUUCACAAAGGUGUCCACUGUUCCAAGGAAAGAUUCACGGAGAUAUUGAAUAAACUGAUCUAACUCUGACCUUUCAUAACUUUUACAAAUCUAUGUAUUGCAAUGAAAUCAAAACUUCUCCAAUGAUAAAAUUCAACAUAAUAUUCUGUGAAAGAAUUAGUGGUGAGAAAUAAACUCUCUGAUGGGAAGGGUACAAGUGUGCAGCUGCAGAAAUAGCACAAUGGCUUUGUUGUGAAUAAAAGAUAAAUUCAGCUGCUGGUUAAGGUGUAUGUUUUCAAUCUACUUAACAAGUCAGUCAAAUAAUAUAACUGGUAUGACUCAAAAUAUUUUAAGGUACAGUAUAUAACAUUCAAUAAAGAAUACAACCAAUAUAAUUUUUAAACAAUUAACAAUUACAGUACACACCGUUUUGAAGUAGUAGUAACUUUAAUUACACUGUUCAGAAACAUCUUUGUAUACUCAGGCUCAAACAUUUUGCUUUUUCAUGUUAUUAUAUUUCCAUGUCUGCUAACAGCUAUAACAAAUAGCUGCACAUUUAAUUACAAAAUUAAAACCAAGAUUUCACAGAACACUGCUUAUUUGAACUUAACUUAAAAUUUCAAAUUACAAAAGGCAUAAAACACCUUAAUAUAAAAGGGUGUGUAUGUUGAUCAUAAAAUCUUAGUGGCCUUCAAUGGAUGAGUUUAAAUAAAAAUAUAGCUGAAUACUCCAAAUUCAGAUACAAUUGCAGAAGCUAAAAAAUAUUAUUCAACUUUGCGCUUGGCCUUAGUAAAAUGGCAGCAAUUAUUUACAUUUGUUUUAAAAUUGAUAUCAGGAUGGUUGCUUAAGUCGUUCAGGACUAUGUAUCAACAAUUUUGGUAAACUGCAUCAACUAAUGUGUCAUUACUCAUACUAACAAAAAUCAAACAAAAUUUUAAAAAUCCCUUAUUCAUCUUACUAUCCUAACACAUAACACUAUGACACAGUUUUGUACUGUUAUAUAUACAUACUGCAAUGCAGAGUGGAUUCUGCUACAUAGAUUACGAUCAGUAAAAAU